rnacentral:lncRNA from 1 species
UUCCUCCAAUCAUGCCCCACCUGCCUUCAGUUUCCACCACCACUUAGUAGUACAUCCGCUAUCAAUGGAUUAAUCCACUGAUGAAGUCAGACCCUUUACCGUCUAAUCCCUUCUCCAAAGCCCCUCCUGUGAACACAUGAGCCUUGGUGGGACACUACAGAUCCAUAUCGUAGUAGUGUGCCCUUAUCAGCUCCAGGCUGAUCUGGGACAUGCUCAAGUUUAAGACCUUUGUUAAAGAAGAGGUGUUAGGUGUGUCUAGGAUCCCAGCACAGUCUGUCCUCAGGCAGGAGCCAUUGAGAGUGGUCCCUGGUAGUACUGGAGCUGGAUUGAAGGAAUUUCAGGUCUGUUGCCCAGGCCUGUUCUGGGUAGUGGGGGUUGUCCUACUCAGUCCCCAUAAAUAUCACUGACUAUCCCUCUGUCUCUGUCCCACCAGAGCUUAAGAUCCCUAAAGACACCAAUAUGUUCUAUGCCAUGAACUCUAUCACCACCUAUGAUUUCAUCUUGAAAAAGUAGACCUUCACUUAGUGGCUAAAUGUCCAGCACAGAGCCAGCUUGAGGUAAAGGUGGCUCAAGAUAGCCAAGGGCAUCUUCUAAGAACAUCUACUUGGGGUCUGCCUGGCUAAUGGUCAAACACUUUCAGACUAGAGUAACCAAGUUAAGCACGCUUCUUUUGCCCACAUGGCAGCCCAGAAUAUAGUUUGACCCAUAUAUAUCCUCCCCUGAUGUGGUUUUAACUAACCCCUGCUAUUCAGCAGGCUGAACUGGCCUCCCUGGACCACUCACUGCCUAGGUGCCUUUUGCCCUCUGGAACCAGAGGACUAGCUGCUUGUUGCUAAGAAGUGCUGCCAAUGGGCAUGACAUCCUGCCUGCCUCAGGUACUGGCCUCCCUGCACAUUUCUAAUACCUCCCUAUGUGAUAGUCACUGCCUGGGAUGACCUUUCCAGGUGUAGUUCACUGCCCUUGGGCAACCCAAAGUACCCCACCCAGCAGCUCUGACUCCUGCUGCAGUUCUCUCCUGGUGCCCUCAGACACUGGCCUGGGAACUUCCCUGGCUCUUCUCCCCUCCUCUUACUACUAUGGACUGCUUUCUCCAUCUCCACCAAAGAUUCCCUCCUCAUGAAUGUCUCACCCAUCUAUGCCCAGACUUCCCCAGGAGCAAAGAGAGAAUCCUUUUUAGGGACCAUACUCCUUAACUGCCCUUGAGGACAGCACCAAUGUUGAAUCUCAUGCCAUAGAAAGUGCCAUUCACCACUGCGUCCUAGGCUUUAUGCAGAUGGGCUUUACC